rnacentral:rRNA from 1 species
GAAACUAGGUGCUGCAUGGUGUCGUCAGCUCGUGCCGUGAGGUGUCGGCUUAAGUGCCAUAACGAGCGCAACCCUGCUGUCAGUUGCCAUCAGGUAAUGCUGGGUACUCUGUCGGGACUGCUACUGUAAGGUAGAGGAGGGUGGGGAUGACGUCAAAUCAGCACGGCCCUUACGUCCGGGGCGACACACGUGUUACAAUGGGUGGUACAGAGGGUAGCUACUGGGCGACCAGAUGCCAAUCUCGUAAAACCAUCCUCAGUUCGGAUCGGAGUCUGCAACUCGACUCCGUGAAGCUGGAUUCGCUAGUAAUCGCGCAUCAGCCAUGGCGCGGUGAAUACGUUCCCGGGCCUUGUACACACCGCCCGUCAAGCCAUGAAAGCCGGGGGCGCUUGAAGUCCGUGACCGCAAGGAUCGGCCUAGAGCGAAACUGGUAAUGGGGCUAAGUCGUAACAAGGUAACCUA